CCCUGACGGCGCGAGAUCAUUUUAAUGGCCUACUAGCGCCUAAAAUCAUUCCCGACGACUGAGCGUCUUGUCAUCGCCUCAUUCAACUCUACACCAAUCUACAAAAGUGCAGAGAAGCCAGGGAACUGGAUUACAGGAGGAGAGAAGCUACUUCCGGACAAAUUCUGAGUAUUUCCCCGGAAGUGAGGUAUCAGACAACAAGUUAAGUCAGGUGGUCUCAUCUGGUUAAAUAAAACGGACAUUUCAUCGACAUAACCGAAGACAAGAAAUCUGAUGGCGACCCAAGGAAAGGACAAAACAACCGACAGAACGCGGCAAAUCUCAGGACAUGACCCACCUACCCAGGCCACCUCGUCCAACAGUCCGGGGGAUCCAGCAGGAAACACCACUCCACCUAAUGAAG